rnacentral:rRNA from 1 species
UACGAGGGGGGCGGGCGUUGUUCGGAAUUAUUGGGCGUCAAGGGCGCGUAGGCGGUGCGGUAAGUCACCUGUGAAACCUCUGGGCUCAACUCAGAGCCUGCAGGCGAAACUGCCGUGCUGGAGUGUGGGAGAGGUGCGUGGAAUUCCGAGUGUAGAGGUGAAAUUCGUAGAUAUUCGGAAAAACACCAGUGGCGAAGGCGACUUACUGGACACAUAUUGACGCUGAGGUGCGAAAGCGUGGGGAGCAAACAGG